rnacentral:lncRNA from 1 species
UAUUUUGUGUUCGAUUUUAGAAGAGAGAUUAGAUUUAGGGUAGUUUAUGGGUUCAAAAUCCAUUGGAAAAAAUUGAACAUUUAAAAAAAACAUAUAAACUUUUAAAAAUAAAAAAAAAUAAAAAUAAAAAGAACGUUUUAUUUGAAAGUAAUUUAUUGAAAUUUAAAAAAUAUCACGUGGAUUAAAAAGGCAUGUAAAAAUUAAAAAAAAAAUUAAAA